UCCGGCAGUUAACCGGAAAUGUGUCUUAUUCGGUGUUGCGGUAUAAAUAAUGCAUGAGCCGUGGGCAAGUUAAUCAGUCCCACCGCAAAUGAUGAGCAGUUUUUGAACAGUGGGUUAUUAAGCGGGGGGAACUCAAGAUCAUAGUCUGCUAUAAAGUAAUCUUAUCUUAAAAUAGUGAGUGCUUAACAUAUAUUAGUAUUAUGGUAGAGAGAUUUUAGCUAACCAGUGUAGUUUGUUUACUCAUAUAGAAUACCUAGGUGACGUUAGUCUUUUAUUAAUAGAAAUGAAUUGUUUACAUUAAGUUUGCAUUAAGUCUAAAUAGGAAAAAUAUGCAUUUAGUUAUAAAAGGAUAUAGGCUUGCACUUCUUUUUAAGGCAAAAUGUUUAUUGCUCUUAUAUUUAAAUUCUUACAAUAUAACAAUUGGUAAUCAUUUACAAAGGGUUUAGUUGGUUGUAUUUUGAAAGCAGUCGUUUCAGUUUGUUUUCACCGUAGAUUGUAAAAGCAGGGAUUUGCUGUGCCUUUCAGAGGGCUGCUGCUGUCUGUGAAUUCAGUGUUAAACCCCAGACCUCCAGUCGGCGUGUCUGACACCAUGACCAUUCAAGGAUCCCCAUGCUGGAUUCAGCAAAUCAGCCACAAGACAAAACCAAGCCCCUCCAUGCUUCACAAAACAAAUGAAUGAUGAUUAUAUGAAACUAACGACACC